CCUACGGGUGGCUGCAGUGGGGAAUAUUGGACAAUGGGCGCAAGCCUGAUCCAGCAAUGCCGCGUGUGUGAAGAAGGCCUUCGGGUUGUAAAGCACUUUUAUCGGGAACGAAAAGCGGCCGGCUAAUACCCGGUCGUGCUGACGGUACCCGAGGAAUAAGCACCGGCUAACUUCGUGCCAGCAGCCGCGGUAAUACGAAGGGUGCAAGCGUUAAUCGGAAUUACUGGGCGUAAAGGGUGCGUAGGCGGUUGCCUAAGUCCGUUGUGAAAGCCCUGGGCUCAACCUGGGAAUGGCAGUGGAUACUGGGUGGCUGGAGUACGGUAGAGGAUGGCGGAAUUCCCGGUGUAGCAGUGAAAUGCGUAGAGAUCGGGAGGAACACCUGUGGCGAAGGCGGCCAUCUGGACCAGUACUGACGCUGAGGCACGAAAGCGUGGGGAGCAAACAGGAUUAGAUACCCAAGUAGUC
rnacentral:rRNA from 1 species